CUGUGUCCCCAAGGUCCCCCGUGUCCUCAACACCCACCCUGAGUCCCCCUGCCCCACGGAGGGUCCCUGAUGUCACUGCACUCCCUUCCUGAUGUCCCUGCCCUGUGCCACCCGCAUCCCUGUCCCGCUCUGUCUCCAGUGUCCCCAAUGUCCCCCGGCUGACGCUGUCCCCACCCUGCCCAGACCCAGCUUUCGAGGACUCGGACAAAUUCCACGCUCCGGCGCGGCCGCUCCAGGGAUUGGCCUAUUCCUAAGGACGGCGUCUCCGGAGUGGCUCCGGAUCCCCCAUCCCGCCGGGACAAGGACUGGGGACAUCCCUGUCCCCUCCCCUCGGAGCUGGGCGGAGCCACCAGGCUCAGCGGGAUGAGGGGACCCAGCCCCCUGAUGUCCCCACCCCGGGUGACCCUGGCCUGGCCCGGCUGAGGGGGGACUCGGGGAAAUCCUGGAAUGAGCCAAAAUUCCUGGGUUUGGCCUCAGGAAGAGGUGGAGAGAGCCGGGAAUGGGGCGGAGGAGGGAGAGGGGUGGAGGCGCCGGGAUGGGCAGGAGGGGUGGUCCAGAAUGGGAGGGAUGAUCCAGAAAAGGAUGGAUGAUCCAAGGUGGGAUGGAUCAUCCAAGGUGGGAUGGAAGCUGUGGAAAAGGAUGGAUGAUCCAAGGUGGGAUGGAUAUCCAGGUUGGGAUGGAAACUCCAGGAUGGGUUGGAUGAUCCUGGUGGGAUGGAUUAUCCAAGAUGGGAUGGAAGCUCUGGAAAAGGAUGGAUGAGCCAAGGUGGGAUGGACUCUCUGGGAUGAGAUGGAUGCUCCAGGUUGGGAUGCAUGAUCCAAGGCAGGAUGGAUGAUCCAGGUGGGAUGGAUGUUCAACAUAGGAUGGAUACUCCAGAAAAGGAUGCUCCAGGUGGGAUGGAAGCUUAAGGAUGGGUUGGAUGUUCCAAGGUGGGAUGGAUGAUCCAAAGUGAGGUGGAUGAUCCAGGAUGGGAUGGAUACUCCAGGAUGGAAGGGAUGUUCUAGGUGGGAUGGAUGAUCCAAGUGGAAUAGAUGUUCCAAUGAUGGGUGGAUGCUCCAGAAAAGGAUAAUCCAAGGUGGGAUGGAUGCUUCAGGUUUGAACGGAUGUUCUAGGUGGGAUGGAUGAUCCACAGUGGGAUGGAAGCUCUCUACAAUAGGGUGGAUAUUGAGGAUUAGAGGGAUGAUCCAAGAGAAGAUGGAUGCUCCUGGGCAGGGGGGAUGAUCUGGAGUGGGAUG
rnacentral:lncRNA from 1 species